UCUAAAAUGACAGAUAAAUGUAAUGAAUUUAAGAUUCAAAUAUAAAUUAAAAAUUUUUUUAGAA
rnacentral:tRNA from 1 species